UUAAUAUUAGUUAUGAAAUAUAUUUCAAGAAAUUUUAUAUCUAGUUUUUUAAGAGUAAAAGUUUAAUUAAUAAUUUUUAUAAAGAUUAAUAUGGUUUAGCUUAUUAAUUUUAUAUACUGAGAGGAUUUUUUAACCUUAGUAAAUUUGAUAGUGUUUAUUUUAUAAAUUUAUAAUGGAGGGUAAUAUGAAUAAAAAUUUUUAUUUGUUAUUUUUAUAUUAAAAAAUUUAUUUAAAUUUUAGAGAUUUAUUUAUAAUGAAAAAAUUAGUAAAAAAUUAUUUAUAUUAAAAAGUAAUUAAUAAUUUAUAAAUGUUAUAGUUAUUAUAAAAAAUGAAUUCGGCAAAAAGUAUUAUUUGACUGUUUAGCAAAAACAUUGUUUCAUGAAGAAUAUAUGAAAUAAUGUCUGUCCACUGAUAUAUUUGAAGGACUGCAGUAUAUUGACUGUAUAAAAGUAGCAUAAUCAUUAGCUUUUUAAUUUGGGGUUGGUAUGAAGGCGAAACGGAUAAGUUCUUUAUUUUUUAUAAAUGUUUUAAGUUUAUUUUUAAGUGAAAAAUCUUAAUUAGAUGAGAGGGACAACAAGACCCUAAUAAGUUUUAUUUUUAUUUUAUUUAUGUUAUAGGAAAAUAGAAUUAGAUAAUAUUAAAUUAGAAAUUUGGUUGGGGCGAUUAGUUAUAAAAUCAUAAUUUAUUUAUAAUUUUU
rnacentral:rRNA from 1 species